CACGUAGGGACCGCGCGUUGUCCGGAUUCAUUGGGCGUAAAGAGCUCGUAGGCGGUUGGGUAAGUCGGGUGUGAAAACUCCGGGCUCAACUCGGAGACGCCACCCGAUACUGCUCUGACUCGAGUCCGGUAGGGGAGUGGGGAAUUCCUGGUGUAGCGGUGAAAUGCGCAGAUAUCAGGAGGAACACCGGUGGCGAAGGCGCCACUCUGGGCCGGUACUGACGCUGAGGAGCGAAAGCGUGGGUAGCAAACAGG
rnacentral:rRNA from 1 species